rnacentral:misc_RNA from 1 species
GAUGAAGAACGUAGCGAAAUGCGAUAAGUAGUGUGAAUUGCAGAAUUCCGUGAAUCAUCGAAUCUUUGAACGCACAUUGCGCCUUCUGGUAUUCCGGAAGGCAUGCCUGUUCGAGAGUCAUUAACAACCGUUUCGAUCCCUUUCUUUCAGAAAUUACAAAGAGGAAAAGGGUUUGGUUAUGGUGGAGGAGGGAAAGGGAGCGUUUAGCCUGUAAAAAAAGAGGCUGUGUUCCGCCUCCCCCCCAAAAUUGUACAGGCGGUCGUGUGCGCCCACGCAUCGAGGUGUUGUAAAAGCUGCCACGGCACUUUUCACCUGUGCAGUGCGAGAUUGGCCAGCCGGUUUAAAAACCCCUCCAAACAAUCAAAGGUUGACCUCGGAUCAGGAAGGGAUACCCGCUGAACUUAAGCAUAUCAAUAAGCGGAGGA